GUGCUCACUUUGGCAGCACAUAUACUGAAAUUGGAACGAUACAGAGCAGAUGAGCAUGGCCCAUGCGCAAGGAUGACAUGCAAAUUUGUGAAGCAUUCCUGUUUUUA
rnacentral:snRNA from 1 species